UACGUAGGGUGCAAGCGUUAUCCGGAAUUAUUGGGCGUAAAGAGCUCGUAGGCGGCUUGUCGCGUCGACUGUGAAAACCCGCAGCUCAACUGCGGGCCUGCAGGCGAUACGGGCAGGCUAGAGUUCGGUAGGGGAGACUGGAAUUCCUGGUGUAGCGGUGAAAUGCGCAGAUAUCAGGAGGAACACCGGUGGCGAAGGCGGGUCUCUGGGCCGAUACUGACGCUGAGGAGCGAAAGCGUGGGGAGCGAACAGG
rnacentral:rRNA from 1 species